rnacentral:rRNA from 1 species
AUUGAACGCUGGCGGCAGGCCUAACACAUGCAAGUCGAACGAGUGGCGGACGGGUGAGUAAUGUCUGGGAAACUGCCUGAUGGAGGGGGAUAACUACUGGAAACGGUAGCUAAUACCGCAUACCAUCGGAUGUGCCCAGAUGGGAUUAGCUAGUAGGGGGGGUAAAGGCUCACCUAGGCGACGAUCCCUAGCGGGUCUGAGAGGAUGACCAGCCACAGUGGAACUGAGACACGGCCCAGACCCCUAGGGGGGGAAGCGGGGGGGAUUAUGGCACAAUGGGCGCAGGCCUGAUGCAGCCAUGCCGGGUGUAUGAAGAAGGCCUUCGGGUUGUAAAGUACUUUCAGCGGGGAGGCGUUACCCGCAGAAGAAGCACCGGCUAACUCCGUGCCAGCCGCCGCGGUAAUUC